rfam:Dipodomys ordii contig_34161, whole genome shotgun sequence.
GGUAGCUCAGUGGUAGAGUGCUUGCAUUGUAUGCAUGAAGCCCUGGGUUCGAUUCCUCAGUACCA